GGUAGUUGCAUAACCUUGAUUGUUCAAGGGUAACAUUCUUUUAUAUCAUCAAGACACAGUCACCUGGAGAAACUUUCAACUUAUUAUCUAUAGAAUGGAAUGUUCAGAUAGUACUUAAAGCAUUGCAAAAUGGAAAUUGAGUGUGUAAUCUGAGAUUCAGAAUAGUAUUAAUGUAAGAAAGUUUGCCCGACUGAUCAGACUUUUCACCACCAGGAUUCAGUUGCCAUAGAUUCUGAGAUAGCGCUCCAAGUGCUAAAGUUCCUGACAGAAAGAAGGCACGUGAGACUCACUAGUUUGUUCCACACACUUACUCAUGACCAUUGAUGAGAAAUUCCCUGCAACUAAUAACCUGAACCUCAGAGUAUGACAAUGAGGCCUCAGAGGAAGUGCUAACAGGGGUAUCUCCUGCACCUACAUCAGUCCAGAAACAGACUUCUCAGUGUGAAGUUUAGACAUCAUGAUUUGCAAGGGUGUGGAGAAAUGAGGAACCAUCGGCAAAUUCCCCCAGCAUCCCAGAUAUAAACACCUAAGUGGGACCUGAAGACAUCGAGAGAG